rnacentral:tRNA from 1 species
AUUUAAAUAAUUUAAUUAAAAUAUUGAUUUGUGGAGUCAAAAAUAUGAUAUAUCAUUUUAAAUU